GGUGACAUGUUUGGACGCCAAGUGAUGGAGAAAACGAAACCACUAGCUUCUGUACGCGUUUCCAGCCAUUACCGCUCAGCUUCUGAUUGGCCUAGCUUAUCCUGUCAGCGACUCAUCGUUAGCAGCUCCCCGUGCUCGCGUCGCGCCGUCGCCUCGCCGUCCUGCCUCCGCCACCCACCGUCUCCCACUCGCAUCCCGCAUGGCGGAGGCCAAGCCCCGUGCCCAAGCUCGGCUCGCCGCUCCCGCCCCCACGUGGGCGCAGCGGGCCGAGGCCCUAACCCACAUCCUGACCCACCCGUCCCACUCGCCGUCGCUCCACUCGCAGCUCUUCCUCGCCUCCCGCGUCCCGUGCCCGGGCUCCGCCGCGUCGUAUCCGCCCUUCCUGUGCCCCGGCGCCUCGCUCCUCCGCUGGGCGCUCGCCUCCGUCUUCCUCCCGCGCGCGGCGCGGCUCUGCCUCCCGCCCUCGUCCUGGCGGUCCCGGUGCCCCUUCCAGCUCCCGCCGCCGCUCGUGCCCUCGGUGGCGAUCGAGCCAGCGCCCGAGCGGUGGGGCGAAGCCGAGCUCGCGGCGUACGCGCACCGGCGGAGGGCGCGGAGGGGCCCGCUGAAGACGCGGCCGCCCAUGUCCGUGGUGGGCGUGGUGCUCACCACCGUGCCCAGCGUCGUCAUCGUCAUCGCCUUCAUAAGGGAGUUCUUCUGGAUCCGCCCCAACCGCGUCUGAGGUGCCCUUCACCUUAAGAGUGCAGACUGAAUUCACUGAAUGCAUUACGCGGGUGAAGAUUUUGGUUAAAGUGCCUGGGCCUGGCCGCCUGCAACAUAGACGCUGGAUCAGGAAUUCAGGAAGCACAGGGAUCUCGGCAGCUCCAUCAAACACCCAGACCUAUUUACGCAUGCCUGGCGUCACCAGAGCGCCAUGGAGGCACGGACACGGACCAUUCUAGGCCCUUUAUGUCAAGCGAAGCCUCCUCGUGGACCACCACCAGCAAACCAAUCUGGCCAAGAUCGGCAGCAGCAUAUCGCUGAGGCAUUCUGUGUUGCUCAUGUAUCACGAGGCUUCCCUUCUUCAGCAUUUAGCCUGCGAGAAACAAGUGCAGGAAGGAUCAACAUCCAAGUUGUUCGGGAGAUGCCAGCGUUCUUGACUCCAAUCAGUCGUGCCACAUAUAGUCGGGGUUCCAUAGGCUUCAGCAUUCUUGAUUCCAAUCAGGCGUGGCAUAUCGUUGGGGUUCUUGACUCCAAUCAAUGUUCUUCAGGUUGAGGGGACUAGUGUAAACUAGAGGCCUGUUCGCUUUAGCUUAUUCAACCGGCUUAUCAGCCACCAAACAGUGUUUUCCUCUCACAACAAAUCAGCCGUUUCAGCUUUUCAGCCGGCUUAUAAGCUGAAGCGAAUAGGUGGCCAGAUUGUACAUUUUUUUCUAAGUGUUUUUUGUAUUCCCCCAUGCUUGCACCUAGAAAUUGGAUAAAUCGGAUGUUUUUCUGUUUCUGACGAAACAAAAGUUGUUCUGUACCUGUUUUAAGAAUGUUCAUGGGAAGCUCUAUCAUGGGAUGCA